UUCUGUCGAGGGUGGCCGGUCCGCACUUUGUGCGUGCAUCUGGUUCAGCCUUGGCAUCCUCUUGGGGAACGUAUCUGCGCUUAAUUGCGUGGUGCGGUAUCCAAGACUUUUACUUUGAGGAAAUUAGAGUGUUCACGGCAGGCAAUCGCCUUGAAUACAUUAGCAUGGAAUAAUAAUAUAGGACCUUGGUCCCAUUUUGUUGGUUUCUGGAACUAAGGUAAUGAUUAAUAGGGAUAAUUGGGGGCAUUCGUAUUAACGUGUCAGAGGUGGAAUUCUUGGAUUACGUUACGACGAACUACUGCGAAAGCAUUUGCCAAGGAUGUUUUCAUUGAUCAAGAACGAAAGUUCGGGGAUCGAAGAUGAUUAGAUACCAUCGUAGUCCGAACCAUAAACUAUGCCAACUAGAGAUGGGCGAUCGUUAUUUUUUUGACUUCGUCCGCACCUUAUGAGAAAUCAAAGUCUUUGGGUUCCGGGGGGAGUAUGGGUCGCAAGGCUGAAACUUAAAGGAAUUGACGGAAGGGCACCACCAGGAGUGGAGCCUGCGGCUUAAUUUGACUCAACACGGGAAAACUCACCAGGUCCAGACAUAGUAAGGAUUGACAGAUUGAUAGCUCUUUCUUGGAUUCUAUG
rnacentral:rRNA from 1 species